rnacentral:lncRNA from 1 species
UAGCUGCCAUUACGGAAGGGAUCGCAGAAGACUAUUCUGAUGAGCAGUUCGAGUAGUACCUGCAGGAGGUGGCUCUUAUCACAAAGGAGGUAGCUAGUUAGUUAAACCUUGAGUAGUCUUAUGUAAAAAGUGAAACAUGAGUUCAUUGUAAUAUAAACAUGAUGUGAAUGAAAUGUAAAUUAUUUGAAGUUUUGUUGAAAAUUUUAUUGUUGUCCACUUGUGUGUUUUUUAUUUAGUUCAUUUCCC